GCAUCUAGAUUAGACUUUGAUCCUGGCUCAGGACAAACGCUGGCGGCGUGCCUAAUACAUGCAAGUCGAGCGGACAGAUGGGAGCUUGCUCCCUGAUGUUAGCGGCGGACGGGUGAGUAACACGUGGGUAACCUGCCUGUAAGACUGGGAUAACUCCGGGAAACCGGGGCUAAUACCGGAUGCUUGUUUGAACCGCAUGGUUCAAACAUAAAAGGUGGCUUCGGCUACCACUUACAGAUGGACCCGCGGCGCAUUAGCUAGUUGGUGAGGUAAUGGCUCACCAAGGCGACGAUGCGUAGCCGACCUGAGAGGGUGAUCGGCCACACUGGGACUGAGACACGGCCCAGACUCCUACGGGAGGCAGCAGUAGGGAAUCUUCCGCAAUGGACGAAAGUCUGACGGAGCAACGCCGCGUGAGUGAUGAAGGUUUUCGGAUCGUAAAGCUCUGUUGUUAGGGAAGAACAAGUACCGUUCGAAUAGGGCGGUACCUUGACGGUACCUAACCAGAAAGCCACGGCUAACUACGUGCCAGCAGCCGCGGUAAUACGUAGGUGGCAAGCGUUGUCCGGAAUUAUUGGGCGUAAAGGGCUCGCAGGCGGUUUCUUAAGUCUGAUGUGAAAGCCCCCGGCUCAACCGGGGAGGGUCAUUGGAAACUGGGGAACUUGAGUGCAGAANAGGAGAGUGGAAUUCCACGUGUAGCGGGUGAAAUGCGUAGAGAUGUGGAGGANCACCNGUGGCGAAGGCGACUCUCUGGUCUGUAACUGACGCUGANGAGCNNAAGCGUGGGGGAGCGAACANGAU
rnacentral:rRNA from 1 species